AUUGAACGCUGGCGGCAGGCUUAACACAUGCAAGUCGAGCGAGCGGCGGACGGGUGAGUAAUGUCUGGGAAACUGCCUGAUGGAGGGGGAUAAAUACUGGAAACGGUAGCUAAUACCGCAUACCAUCAGAUGUGCCCAGAUGGGAUUAGCUAGUAGGUGGGGUAAUGGCUCACCAAGGGGACGAUCCCUAGCUGGUCUGAGAGGAUGACCAGCCACACUGGGACUGAGACACGGACCAAACUCCUACGGGAGGCAGCAGUGGGGAAUAUUGCACAAUGGGCGAAAGCCUGAUGCAGCCAUGCCGCGUGAGUGAAGAAGGCCUUCGGAUUGUAAAGCACUGUCAGCGAGGAGGCGUUACUCGCAGAAGAAGCACCGGCUAACUCCGUGCCAGCAGCCGCGGUAAUUC
rnacentral:rRNA from 1 species